rnacentral:rRNA from 1 species
AUACGGAGGAUGCGAGCGUUAUCCGGAUUUAUUGGGUUUAAAGGGUGCGUAGGCUGUGCGUUAAGUCAGGGGUGAAAUGCCGUCGCUCAACGACGGAGCUGCCCUUGAUACUGGCGUGCUGGAGUACGGAUGCCGUUGGAGGAAUGAGUGGUGUAGCGGUGAAAUGCUUAGAUAUCACUCAGAACACCGAUUGCGAAGGCAUCUGACGAAUCCGUCACUGACGCUGAGGCACGAAAGCGUGGGGAUAGAACAGGAUUAGAUACCCUGGUAUUCCACGCCGUAAACGAUGAUGACUAACCGUCGGUGAUAGACAGCCGGUGGCCAAGCGAAAGCGAUAAGUCAUCCACCUGGGGAGUACGUCGGCAACGAUGAAACUCAAAUGAAUUGACGGGG